GGCCGUGUGGCCCAAUGGCAAGGCGCUUGACUACGACUCGCUAGAUAAUCAAGAGAUUCCAGGUAUGUCCAAACUGAAGAGAUCUCAUCCUUAUCAAUUACUAAUCCUACAUAGGUUCGACCCCUGGCACGGUCA